UCAGACAGGGAUAAGCCGACAGUAAAUUGGGAAUGAAGAUCAAGUCCCUGUUAUCUGCUUUCUUUCUCAUUAGAAGACAGGUGAACUCCCUGCCUUGGGAUAUCAGGUGGCUCAGUAUGGAAUCUGCAUCACAGAUCCAUUAGAAGAUGUGAACCAUCAGGCCCGGGAAGCCAUCAAGUGCCUUUAUCAGCUGCUGCUUCAUCACAUGGGCAGAAGACAUGGAAAGAAAUAUAUACGAGCAGCUCUUCAAGCUUCGGACACUCCGGCAGGUGCCAGAAGCACUGCAAAGCAUUAUUCCAAGUAAAGGUAAUGCUGCCAGACCAUAGAGGCCAAAGCUUACUGGCAGAGGACAUGCUCUGCACAAAGAGGAUCCCAGGUUUCACCUCUGGCACCUCCUGCUUUUUUUAAAAAAGGUGGCUAAGUAUUAUUAGCAAAUACAUGUUUUUACGUGAGCCGCUGCCUCUGGAAGUGACAAUGUUGGGCUCAAUAGAAAAACUGAGCUAGUAUAAGGUGGUUUCUGUUUUCCUUCGGUCCUAGACAGUGGCUUAGCUAAAUAUUUUCUUUUCCUGCACCAGCAAAUAUUUUCUGAAUUAUCUGAUGAGUUCUGAAUUAAUAUAUUCUCUUCCACAACUCCCUCUGCU
rnacentral:lncRNA from 1 species